GACGAACGCUGGCGGCGUGCUUAACACAUGCAAGUCGAACGAAGAGCGAUGGAAGCUUGCUUCUAUCAAUCUUAGUGGCGAACGGGUGAGUAACGCGUAAUCAACCUGCCCUUCAGAGGGGGACAACAGUUGGAAACGACUGCUAAUACCGCAUACGAUCUAAUCUCGGCAUCGAGGAUAGAUGAAAGGUGGCCCCUACAUGUAAGCUAUCACUGAAGGAGGGGAUUGCGUCUGAUUAGCUAGUUGGAGGGGUAACGGCCCACCAAGGCGAUGAUCAGUAGCCGGUCUGAGAGGAUGAACGGCCACAUUGGGACUGAGACACGGCCCAGACUCCUACGGGAGGCAGCAGUGGGGAAUCUUCCGCAAUGGACGAAAGUCUGACGGAGCAACGCCGCGUGAGUGAUGACGGCCUUCGGGUUGUAAAGCUCUGUUAAUCGGGACGAAAGGCCUUCUUGCGAAUAGUGAGAAGGAUUGACGGUACCGGAAUAGAAAGCCACGGCUAACUACGUG
rnacentral:rRNA from 1 species